GGGCAGCAGGGGGUGAGGAGGGUCUCAGGCUGAUCUCAAAUCCCUGGCCUCAAGUGACCCUGCCACCUCAGCCUUCCAAAGAGUUGGGAUUACAGGCAUGAGCCACUGCACCCAGCCAGAGGCCCAAGUUCUAAUCAUAUCUCUGCCACCCACAGAGGUGUGACCUCCACUACCAACGGGCUGUGACUGUUGAGUGUUGAGUGGGGAGUGUCACUUGAUUCCCCAGGGCCUCAGCUUUCUGCUCUGUGAAAGGGAGAUGGUGAUCUUUCCUAGUCAACCUGAGAGCUUGUGGGAAGUGAUAAAUAUCAUUGGUGUGGCCACAUUUUUGCAAAGUGUAGAAGCUACACCCUGGAAUUUAUUCCCCUGAAGCUUUCUCUACAGGACCUAGAACAUGACAGAUAGUAAAUGCUAGGUCACCUUCAGGCCACCCUGGACCAUCCAACUCUGGCUAAGCCAUCAGCUGACUACAACUACAUGAAUGAGUGGGAUAUGUGAGCAGAAGAAUCACCCAGCUGAUCCCAGCCAACCUGCAGCAUAUAGUAUCAUGAGCUAAUAAACAAUUCCUGCUUUAAGCCCUAA